rnacentral:rRNA from 1 species
GAUGAACGCUGGCGGCGUGCCUAAUACAUGCAAGUCGAGCGAACAGACGCAGAGCUUGAUAAACUGAUGUAAGCGGCGGACGGGAGAGACACACGUGGAUAACCUACCUAUAAGACUGGGAUAACUUCGGGAAACCGGAGCUAAUACCGGAUAACAUGUUGAACCGCAUGGUUCAACAGUGAAAGACGGUCUUGCUGUCACUUAUAGAUGGAUCCGCGCCGCAUUAGCUAGUUGGUAAGGUAACGGCUUACCAAGGCAACGAUGCGUAGCCGACCUGAGAGGGUGAUCGGCCACACUGGAACUGAGACACGGUCCAGACUCCUACGGGAGGCAGCAGUAGGGAAUCUUCCGCAAUGGGCGAAAGCCUGACGGAGCAACGCCGCGUGAGUGAAGAAGGUCUUCGGAUCGUAAAACUCUGUUAUUAGGGAAGAACAAAUGUGUAAGUAACUAUGCACGUCUUGACGGUACCUAAUCAGAAAGCCACGGCUAACUACGUG